CAAUUUUCUUGUAACCUGAUUGGCUGAUAAAGAUUAUCUUUGGUAUAAUAAAUAAUGAGAGAUUUUUUAAAAUUACUGUUAGUUGACCUAGAGAUGGGUCCAAACCAGAAACCUUAAACCAAAUUAUUUUUAUUCAUAAAGCAUUGACAAUGUGUUUAGUGCUGUACAAAGAUACAUAAUGAGGAAUGUCCUUCCAUUUAGUUCACAGUCUGAUAUAUAAAAUCAGAGAAGACUGAAUAAACUGCAAAGGAGAUGUGACAGAGUUAUUUUUCGUUUGUUUGAAUCCCUAAAAGACAAGAAAAAAAUUCCAGACCUUCCUUCCUUUGGGCUGCCAACCUAUUAUAAACAUAUGAAAAGUUCUGGAGGUACAGGGUGCAAAAUCCAGACCCUAAACUUGAUCUGAAUUUCACAGUGGACCAAACCAGAACCCCACUUAAGAAUACCUCAUAUUGUGGGAGUGGUUUUGAAAUUUGGACUCAAGAUCAGAUCAGAAUUUCACAAUCAAAACCCAUCUGCACUCUUAGUGCAAGUUAAUUAAUAAUAAAGUUGCUCAGAAAUGUAAAUUACCAUAGUAAAGUGGUUCAUGUAUCACCCCUUAGGACUGGAAUCUUGCAUUGUCAUGGUAAUAACACAAAACACUGUGGAUUUUUAACAGAAAUUACCAUUUUCUAGAAACCCAUAACAACAUGUUGUACAUUAACUCAUGAACUUCUAAAAGAACAUCACUGAAUUUUCUAUGUUUAAAACCACUAUUGCUUCUUUAGGAAUUGCAUCAACAAUAAUGGCUUCUCCAGAAUUAAAAAUAACUUCAAUGGAUGAAGAGAUGGUUUUUACAGGAAGCUUGAAAUCUCUUCUUCCCCUUACAGUCAGAAGACUAAUUAGAUUCAACAAACUCAAUAUAAGUAAUACUUCUGGAAUGGCUGAGGGGCGAUGCCUUGGUUGCCAGGUUUCAAGUCCUGCGCUGCCUACAAUAAAACUAUGCCUUUGAGUGACCCCCAACUCGAGCUGUCUCAAGUGCCUGGGGGAAGCUCAUAGGAAAGACUGCUGCCAAAUCUGCAGGGACUUCAGACUCUGGACUAGGAAGGACGGAGAGGCUCAACUGAAGGUCCUCCUCAUGGAGGCAGCCUUAAGACCGGCUUCGGAGCCACGCUCGGACUCAGCACCAAGCACCUCAGCUUCUGUGCCGAGCGCCCAUCCAUCAACCUGGGACUCUCGGCACUGAUCGCCCUCCUGUAGAAACACCACAAGCACCAAGAGAAGACCAGGUCUCUGGUGCUGAAAUCAAAGGGAGACAGGAAGACAGCGAGAUCCGCACUGGACCGUUCGUCUCCCCCAGCACCAAAACAUCAGGUGUCGACAACUCCAGUGCUACAGCAAACUCGUUGGACACCUACAAAGGAGCAACCUCAGAGUAGACAAUGCACCAGCCAGUUUGCGAUGCCGUCAACUCCUAAGGCAUUCGCAAUGGCUAGAGACCUUCUCACCCUGCCACUACCAGGAUCCCCGAAGGGUCAAGACCAGAGAACCCAGAACUGGCUAGCGGAUUGCGUCAGCAGGUUCUUCUCCUCUCACCACGAGCUUGAGUCAUUCUCAUAAACCCAGCAUGACCCAGACAGCACUUGUUCACCACUCUCCACAGCAUGUCCGUGGAGGUGCCAAUUCAGCUUCCACUGCACCCAGACUUGAUCUUCCAGAUGGCCAGCUGCUACAUCCAAAUCUUGUCUCUCCAUCUGACAGCCUGGAAGCUCCAUGGUUGAACCCGGAGAAGCAGGCAUGCUCUGAGCAGGUCCGUGAGGUCCUACUGAGCAGUAGGAAGCCCUGCAUCUGAACCACCUACCUUGCAAAAUGGAAGCGAUUCUCCAUCUGGUGAUCCCAAUGACAGAUCCCACCUUUACGGUCAUCUAUACAGCUUAUCUUGGAGUACCUGCUGCUCCUGAAACAACAAGGCCUAGCCCUCUUGUCAGUUAAGGUCCACUUAACGGCCAUUUCUGCCUUCCAUCCCAAGGUGGACAUCUGAUCAGUCUUCUCCCACGAGAUGGUUGUCCGAUUUCUCAAAGGCUUGGAAAGGGUAUACCCUCAAGUCAGAGAUCACCUGUACUGAUGGCACAGUUAGUCCCAGAUUUUUGAACGGUAUUUAGGCAUUGCUGUGUUCAGCAUUGCAACGCCUGACUGAUCUAGGAGCGAGUUGAUUGUUAAUGGGAUUUAAGCUCUUAAGUGCCUAAGUCACUUUUUAAAACUGAGAUUUAGACUUAGUAAUGGGGCAACACAGGGUUAAUGAGCUAAUAUGAGCUCAGGGUGGCUGUUCCCCCUUGCACCUGUGAGCGAUGUCAGGAUUGGAGGAAGUAGCUUAAGAGGGAAAAGCACAUCUCAGUUGAUAGAUCAGGAAGGAAAGCAGAGAUUCAGUCCUCAGCUCCUGGAGAAACGGCUGACUGAAGGCAGGAACUCCCCAGAUGACCACGAACUGAUGGACCCUCCAUGAAAGAAGGGAGGGUUAGAUGUUGACUCAUCUUGAGAUGGAACCAUUCCCUUCUAUUACUUGUAAACUCAGUUUAGGGCCACAGCAUGACAAGUGCCCUCUGAAGAAAGAGAGCCUUAAUCCAAUUUUGGGAGAUUCAUUUGUGUUAAUUCCCCUUGUUUCUGUUUGUUGACUAUCCUGGAAGGUGGGGAGAGACUUUAAAAUGACCUGGCCAGAGGGCCACAUCAUGGGAAGAGGCAGACCACCACAGAAGGUAUCUGUUGGGGAAAGAAGUGCUAUACCAUGCCUGGCUGGCCACACUGAGUUGCUAGUGGUGAGUCAAUCCCUUCACAGGCUCCUAAAUCAGUUAGGUGUUGCAGCACUGAGUACAGCUAAGUACAGUUUCUGCAGCUCCCAUUGCCCGGGAACGGCAAACUGCGGCCACUGGGAGCUGCAGGGGGCCUUGCCUGCAGAUGGUCAACAUAAACAAACUGUCUCGCGGCCUGCCAGUGGAUUACCCUGAUGGUCCGCAUGCCAAAAGUUGCCAAUCCCUGGAUACAGCACCACGUAAAUACCCUUUAAAAAUGUGGGCUUUAGGGACUAUUAAUCUGUGUAUUUUAUACUGUAGACCAGACCUGCCCCUUUGAUUGCAUCCCUGUUGUGGUCAAUGAGUAUUACAUAUGGAAAAAAUAAAAGAUUUUAGUAGUUGCUGCUUAAAGAUGAAUAUCUGCUUUUUUCAUUUUUUCUCAUUUUGAAAAAUCUCAAAGAUGCUAGAGGUCUGUUACAGAAUAGUAGCUUGCAAAAAUGACAUGCUUUAAAUUAAAGCUGGUUCUGAGGUGAUUGCAGACCUGUCUGAAUCUGUAAUAAUUCUAUUAUUUUCCCUCCUAUAAUUUAGAAAUAGCUGAAAUGACUUGAAUCUAACCUAACAGACAAAAUUUCACUCCUGGGAGAAAACCCUUGUGUGCUAAAUUGCAACCCAAGUACAUUUCCAAGGCCAAGUUUCAAAUGCCUGUGAAAAAUGGGCUGUGUAAUGAAAGAUCUUUACUUACUAGACUGGUUUUGAGUUGCAGUUUUGCAUUAACACAAGAAAAAUAAAGUGCUGUAUGGACAAAGUAUUGUACUCUUUUUAUUUCCAUGCCAAUAUUUACAUCAAAUAAGAUAAUCCGUUCUAUAACAUAUCAAUUUGCCAGACUAUUUAAUCGAAGUCAUUGUAGGGUUCUGGUUUCCCCAUAAGAUAGCUUAUUAGAGAAAAGCCACCCUCUCAAACUGGUGAAUGCCAAGUACUUACACUAUUAAAAUGAUUGCAGUAACAUUGACUGUGAAGAGCAUAUCUAGGAGUGAUUUUAUAAACAGUCUUUCCAAAAACAUUGAAAUUUUAUUUAACUAUAGUAGUCUGUAUUAUAUUUUAAAAUUCUCUUUUUCAAGGGAGAAGAAUCUCUUCUCUAGGUAAAAUCCAUACAGAAAUAUUACUGUCACAUAUAUUAACAAUUGAAUUAGUAGCUGAUAAUUGUUCCCUUUAAUGCUUUGUUUUGUUUCUGAAGUUUUCGGUUCCCAAAACCUUUUUGAGACUCUCAAAUGUACAACUAGAUUAGUCCAUCAGAUUUUGAUUUGUAGAACUGAUUUACUAACUGAAAAUAUCUCUGUAUAUAGAUUAGAAAUUUAGCUCUUUGAUAACCAGAGAAUAUAUUUUCUGAAUGUAAUUGUAACCUUAAUAUUUCCUGUUUAUAUAGUAUGAUGGAUACUCUUGAGUCAAUUUUUCUGUUGGGGAAAUUUAGGCACAAAGAUGUUUAAGUGACUCAUCCAAGGUCAUGCAAUGAGAGUUUGUCUA